AUUGAACGCUGGCGGCAUGCCUUACACAUGCAAGUCGAACGGCAGCACGGGAGCUUGCUCCUGGUGGCGAGUGGCGAACGGGUGAGUAAUACAUCGGAACGUACCCAGUAGUGGGGGAUAACGCACCGAAAGGUGCGCUAAUACCGCAUACGACCUACGGGUGAAAGCGGGGGACCGUAAGGCCUCGCGCUAUUGGAGCGGCCGAUGUCUGAUUAGCUAGUUGGCGGGGUAAAAGCCCACCAAGGCGACGAUCAGUAGCUGGUCUGAGAGGACGAUCAGCCACAUGGGGACUGGGGCACGGGCCAGACUCCUACGGGGGGCAGCAGUGGGGAAUUUUGGACAAUGGGGGCAACCCUGAUCCAGCAAUGCCGCGUGUGCGAAGAAGGCCUUCGGGUUGUAAAGCACUUUUGUCAGGGAAGAAAUCUUUCAGGCUAAUACCCUUGGAAGGAUGACGGUACCUGAAGAAUAAGCACCGGCUAACUACGUGCCAGCAGCCGCCGUAA
rnacentral:rRNA from 1 species